CUACCACAGCAGAAAUGAUCACUGUGUAAAUGGAUUUCUUUUCCCAACCUGUUUUCAUGCAAAUCACUUGGAUAUGCUGUGUCUGUAAAAGUCCGUAAAGAAAUCAAGAUGAAGUUCAUUCGUUAAAUCAGCCUUUUCUGUGAGGCAUUAUAUUCUUUCAGCAUCUUAAGGGGAAUAUUUCUAGUGACGAAGUAAAUUCUGACAUCAGCUGCAGUGCUUCUAGCGCAGAAUCCUUCAAGAGUCAUGGGAGGACUUUGAAUACUGCCUGACGUUUUGCUGAACGAGUGAAUGUACAGAGGAAGUAUCUAGCAGUAUCUAGCAGUCCUUCACAGCAGCGAGAUAAUACCUGUCCUUAUGAACCUAGCCCUGGCUAUUUGACAUUCACAUCACUGUGUGCAGGGGCUGCAAGAUGUGGCUGCCUCCAGUGCUAUGCAGCAAGAUGCUGUGACCUCAAAGGUUGGACCUGUGCUCCCAUGACCAUCUUCAUUACAGCUCCUGUACUUCAGUGGUUUGCUGGAUCCUUCUGCUCUCUUUCCCAUUGCCUUGGCUGUAUAAACCUCAGGCCCUGGAGAUCAUCAGCACAAUGCAAUUAUUUCCAGUGCUUUGACCUCAUAACUGCUGUCACUAAUAUUCAAGACAAGCCAUAAGUCACUGAUUGGUGUUGCUUUUGGCUAUUGUGAAAGACAGAUUAUGGAGCUGAGCUGUCCACAAAACCUGUUCCUAUGCUCCUCUGUACGUGGAAAAAAAAAGGUACUUGCAAUAUCAGUAGGGUAGAAGUGUUUGUGGUAGACUAAAGAAAAAAAAAAAAGAAUGGGAUUGUGUCUUCUGUAAAGAGAUUAAAAUCUGCAUAUGCUUUUUGAAUGUAGUUUGAACACAGAUUCUUGAGGAAAUACUUAAAAAAAAAAAAAAGAAGAAUCAGCAAAAAUGGAAAAAUGCAGGACUAUGAAAGAGUGUCAUGAUCAUUCGUGGUGAAAACUAUUAGAAUAUGGUUUGUGCAGAUACUGAAUAACCCCAUGCUGGUUUCCCUGAGAUAUCUAAAGAUUGAAUUCUGUCAGGUCAAUAUAAGAAAUGCUUUUUUCUACAGUGCAGCUGUGCUUUCAAUAGAAUGUAAACACUUAAAGUAAUAGGCAGCAAAAUGCUGCAUCCACGUGUAGAUUUGUAUUGCCAUUUCAUAUUUGAGUUAAAAUAUGUAAGACAUCUGAUGACAUGCCAUAGGAGAGGGACAUAGUUUUGCAGCAUGAAGUAUUUUUUCCCUUAGAUAGAAUGCAACCAGUUGCCCAAAAGCCAAAGAAAACAGAAAGUUUUAAAGCCUCAUUCUCUCUGUUUGCCACAUAGAGGUUUUCAAACACAAGAACCUGAGCUCCUGUAACCCAGCAUUGCCAGAAGCAGGCACAGCAGGCUUGGUAAAACAGAAGUCCCUGUCUGUUGACUGAGUUAUUCUUCUGACGGAAAUGGACAGAUCUCCCUUCAAACUUGGGGUGAGAUAAACGCUGCUGAAAAAAAGGCAAAAAUGAGUCAAAUGAGUUUUAAACUCUGACAUUUACAAAACUGUUUUCAAGACAAAAAUGAAUGGGCUUCAUGUGUUGAAAGACUUGCUGUCACCCAUGUCAAACUUAAAAGUCUGUGUCACAUCCCUUUCUUCUUAAGGAAGAUGCCUGAUUCUAAGACCAAGCUUGAUCUCAGCCAUCCACAAAUACAGACAGGUUCUUCUUAUUCUGAAAAAUAAAAACAGAAUGUCAGCAGUUUUUAUUAUUAUAGCUCUAGGGGGCUAAAUUGGAAUUUUUAAGGUAAAGGCAACAGACCAUUAAAGCAUAUCUGUUUAUGGUUAUAGAAAAUGGAAUAGAAGAUCUUUAGCAUAUACUGUAUUCACAGUGUCAUCAAAAUGUUCAUUUCAGGUCUGGAAGGUUUAUUAAGUUGCAUUUAUGGGUUGAGGGUGCAGACACAGGUUUCAGAAAUAGUCAUUUCAGAAGCCAAGCUGCUCUGUGAGAGGACAGAGAAGCUCCAAAACUGCUUUUUAACAUGUUCUUUAAUUGUACUUAAUGUGUCUCUUGCCACAUAUUAAUGACUCAGAGAGGUCUUUUCUCAGAGAAAUAAAUUCACACUGUACUC
rnacentral:lncRNA from 7 species